GGGGGUUGGGAGGGCAGGCUGAUGUGCCAGUGGGGGCCAAGACGCUGGUGGUGAGGGGUUGCUUGUCCGCCUGACAUGACUCUUAUUUGGUCGUCAUGGUAAUGCCACAGUAACGCUGCGGUAAUGCCAUAGCAACGACACCAAAUGGCAGGCGAAUGAGAGCUAGGCUGCAUCUUCCACAAAUGUCCUUGGUUCACUGUUUGAAAGGUGAUAACGUGCGACAUUACAUACAAACUCUGACCCAUUUGGGCCACGUUUACAGGUCAACCUCGCUCGGCAGUCAACAAUCUUUGACUAUUUAGAAUGAAUUACUUCCUGUGGGUCAUGUGAAAACAACAAGUGAUGUCAUAUAAAGGGGGACAGUUAAACUCUAGUGUAGAGCUUCCUUCCACUUGAAAAACAGCUCCUCUACAGGUUACGCUUCCAGUCCACUCUGUAUCUCUGUAGCUAGAACUAAAAGACACCCUGAAUGCUCCAAUAUCAAAGCCAAGGAAGAAGAAGAAGGUGUUUAGCAGAGAGGAAGCAGAGAAGCCUGUAUAAAGUCAGGGAACACCCACUGUAUUGUAUUUACAGAUGUAGGAUCUUAAUUUGAGCCAGUCUCCUACAGCAGGAAAAUAAUCAUACAGCAACAGGACAUUUUAAUUAUAAUGUGGAUUAUAAUGAAUGGAGAUUUUUGUAGCGUCUGAAAAAAUUUCGUAAGGGAAAAUCAAGUGUGAAAUUUCAAAGUGGAAAUACACUACAAGUACAAAAUACACUACAAGUUUUAAAUGUCCUGCAUUGCAGAAAUAUUUUCCUGCAACAGGGUAAUCAAAUGAAGAUCCUACAUACAGUAUGUAGAUGUCCAGGGAGCAUGUCUGCUGUCGGCCACAACAGCGCCUCCAAACCCCAGCGUUGCUACCAAAACAUGUUGUUGUGGUGUUGUGGUUGAGGUGGCUGUGAUGUGUAGUAAACAAACAGCUUCUUUUGUACAUUGUGUCGGGGUGAGGGAUGUGGGCGGGUUGGAUAUGUAGCUAUAAAUUACAAACAUGGGAGCUGUCUACACCCCAUCGACGUAUCCCAACAUUCACCCUUUUCCCUAUACAGUGCAAUACUGGUCAAAAGCAGAGCACUAUAUAGGGAAUAGGGUGCCAUUUGGGAUGCAGUUUGACUCCUCCAUCCGUCUUCGAUAUGGGCUCAGGAUUGUUCUGAGAGACAGAGAGAAGAAAGGGAUUGACGGUUCCGUCAGACGGGUCGCAAAACCAACCGAUAAAGAUUUAUUCAAUUCUCUUUUAAACGUUCUAUUUAUAUCGAGCUCUACUUUAGUAACAUCCUUCUAUAUUUAAACAUUGUACUAAUAACAUGCUGUCAGACAUGGUGGGGAAAAGUCCAUUGUAGCCAUUAACUAAUGUUACAUUUACUGUAUUACUGAGUAAGAAAAAAAAAACAUUUAUAUAUAUGAUGAAUAUAAAUAUAUCUAUUUGUGAUCUGCAACCCUUGGAAUUAAGUUCGCCCUUUGAUUUUUGAUAAUCGAUAUUAUGAUUUUAUGGGCGCCGGACUUAAUGCACUGUCGACCAUUCCUGGGAGAUUUCUAUACCUGUGUAGUGUUAUUACCUGUUUGUCUAUUUACUCCUCCUUUGGUUCCGCUAUUGAAUGUAACUUCCAAAAACUUUUUAUGUGAAUGUCGUUAUAUAUAUAUAAAAAAACAAAAUGUCAAAGUACAAUGUAUAUGCAGUACACUACACGAUGAUAAUAUAGCUGAACGUUUCAUCUGAUAAAAUGCUGGACUUCAGACGGUCACACCGAUGCCAAUACAACUGGUGAGGGUAUUUUACGUAGGAACAAGUGGGGAGGGUAUUAUGUGGAGCACACCAGUGCCCUGCAGACAGACAUCCUCCAGAUAAGAACCGUGUAAUCAUUUACUGGAUCAGUCAGAACUCUUCGCACCAAGGCUUUUCACAUCUGACGAGAACAAGAACACCAGGAGAGGAGCAUCGCAGUCUGUCCUGUGUGCCAGAUCAAAUGUGUUUUUUAAAUAUUGAUCUAUUUUGUAUUUAUUCUUCUCUCUCCUGAGGUGAAAGAGAGGGAGAGAGAGCGAGUGAGUGAGGACCAAGUGAGGGACUAGUGCUGAGAGUGGGUGGGGGGUGGUGGUGAGGGAGGGUUCUGUCACACCUUGAUCUGUGUUGGAGGGGAUUUGUGACCUAUACACAAGAGGAGGGUUGAGGAUCCAGGUUUGAAGACGGGGAAUAAGGGGACUCCUUAUCCCUCUCCUCUCUGAUUGGAGGACAGGAUGGUACUGUAAAACUCUGAGCUCUCUUUCCUUUCUGAGUUCACCUUAGCCUCUGCUGCACAUCAAGCUUCCCUACACCACAAUGAGCUGCUACCCCUGGACACAGGUGUGACUGUAUCUGACAGGCUGGUCUACGGACGUUUCCCUGGACACAGGUGUGACUGUAUCUGACAGGCUGGUCUACGGACGUUUCCCUGGACUCAGGUGUGACUGUAUCUGACAGGCUGGUCUACGGACGUUUCCCUGGACUCAGGUGUGACUGUAUCUGACAGGCUGGUCUACGGACGUUUCCCUGGACUCAGGUGUGACUGUAUCUGACAGGCUGGUCUACGGACGUUUCCCUGGACUCAGGUGUGACUGUAUCUGACAGGCUGGUCUACGGACGUUUCCCCGCAGUGUAAUGGAUGGAAGGUUCCGGAUAAAUAAACCCACUUUGCUGCAUUCUUGUCCUCAGAGAAGACAGAACGGGUAUCUUCACAGGUGGACAGGGGACAGCUGUUUGUUUGUUAACAUGUUAACUAACAGGUGUAUGUUAGGUAUGCAUGUAGCAUAAAUAAUGAGACCUGAACCAGUAAAGUGUGUGUGUGUCAUAGAGAAACAACUCUGUCCACUUCUAACCACUCAAUCUGUUGUUGUCAAGUUGUCAUUGCAAAGCUCAAGGGACUCUUGAUGUGAAGUCACAUCUGCACUGGCACUGAGAGAGACUGAGACCUCAUGUAUUAAAAAAGACAAGCAAACAAAUAAAUACAUUUUAAAAACGAUGAUGUCACUAACAGAGAUCUGAGAUCUUUAAGGGGUUUUACUUAUCCUGAUAAUCUGAUUCUACUGCUGUUAUUUUUUGGGUCUGUUUGAGACUUCCUUCCUGUUUAGAUGUAGACCUUGCUGUUCAACCCUGGGGAAAGAGAUGUAUGAUAAAAGCGGUUAUAAAAUGAGUCCUGUGCACACGUUGACCACUGCACUAUUGUGAAUAUGUCGGUCUAUCGGACUUACACAUUCAAAUAAACGUGCAGAAGUGGAUGUUAGUGCAGGGAUACAUUUUGUCAUUGAGCAUAGAAAAUUGUUAAUAAUUUAUAUUCCCAGCACCGCUGAAAGCGGUGGUAGUGUGUCUGUGUGCUGAUAUUUGCUCUGAAAUGGCUUAAUUCUCAUUUGAAAUAAAAAAAACGUAACUCUGCAAGACGUUGAUGUCAUUGAGGACCUUACGCAAACAUGUGAUUUAAGUGUGUAGAUCUUGAGUUAGGAUUUGGCCCAAACAAGUGUGAAGCAGCCUUCACUAUAGCUCUGUUACUGUCUGAGGCUAAUUACCGUACCGUACCCUACCCCUACCCGCUGCUCCUAAAGUUACGUAUACCUCUGUGCCCCCUAACCCAAAGCCCACAUCCAACACUCAUUCCAAUGAUGGCUUCCUGAAAAUCCACAAGCUUCCUUACAAAAACCAAAUGUCGGUUUCCUCGAACAUCCUGAUUUGUUUACAACCUAAACCCUAAUGCAAAUACCCAGACCCCGUCUCAUCUGAAUCCAGAAACCUCAGUCCAAAACCCAACCCAGUUCAGACCCAGUUUAUCCUGUAGUACCCGAACCAGCUCUCAAACCCCUAAGCCAAAACCACAGACCUACCUCCCCUAUAGUUUAUCGAUCUCCGUCCCCAUCCGUCCCCAUCCGUCACCGUCCUAGUUCACAACGCCCUCUGCAGUCCCCCAAAAGCACAAAGGUUAGAGUGGUGUAGGAGUAAGCUGACGCUGUGAAAGAGAAACCCUUCCAUUCUGUUUGUGUUGGUCUGUUUACGGCUUAUAAAUGUGGUGCUUUUGUAUUCCGAAUGUACAGAUGCUCCUUUUUCUGUCUAUGUCAGAACGUUGUAUUAGUGGAAAUUCAAAACGACGACUCUUCAUGUGCUUCAAACACAUCUAUUUCUGUUUUUAUUUUCUUCUUUUUUGGCAAUUGCUCCAAGGUCAUAUAGAUUAAAAGAUGAGUAGGUAAACAAAAUACAUAAAUAAAGAGAUAUAUUGAUCAAUUUCAAGAGAUUACAUGUUGAGCUGUUCAGAACCUGUACUCUAACUUUGGCAUUUGGUUUCUGUUCACUGUUUUGUUCUACUUUGUGUAUGCUUUCAAUGUGCUUCAGAAAUACAGUAAUAUUUAUUAUGAUCGUUAAAUUAUUAUUACAGUUAUUAUCAUGAUUACUGCAGUUAUUAAUAAAUAUUUCUUUCCUCAACGAGA
rnacentral:lncRNA from 1 species